UUCUGCGCGGCGAGUGAGGUGACUCGCGGCGAGUCACAUGAGUCGCGCGAUUCUGAGAGGCGAAUGCAGUGAGAAAAGUCACUUCGGAUGAACACCGAUGAACUCUCACCUAAUUCUCACAGUCGCAACUGAGUGAGUUUAGUCGAUGCGCCGUGACUUUUCGAGUCGAUACCUUUGAUUCAAGUGACAGAAGUGCGAGAUCGAAUAAAAAUUUUAAUAUUUUACCUUUUCUGGUGUUUUUUGGUUGAGACCCGUAUGAUUUUUUAGUUCUUGCGGUGAUGACGGUUUUCUAGAUUGUGGAACCAUUCGUCAUCAGUUCGAAGGAUAUGUUGCGAGGCGAUAGUCGGACAACUUUUUUUUAGAUAACAGAUUUUGAUAUUUCAUUGGAGUAAAUGAGAAGUUGCAGAGAAUUCCAAAUAUUACCAAAAAUAUCGGUGAUGUUGACAAAUGUGUCUAAAGAAAACAAAAAGGGAAAACAAUUAUCGGAUCGAUCUCGAUAUUACAGAUGUACAUUUCCCUUGUGUAAGACUGUGAAACAACAGCAGGAGCCGAAUCGUACUAGUUAUCGAUAUAAGUACCGUGUGAAUCAGAAUAAUUUGGCUCAAUUUACACGUUCUUCACAUUAUUCGAGGAUUUGCAGCCCCAUUCUCUAUUAUUAUGUAUUAUGUUAUGCUUUUUCGAACGAUUGAGAUUUUCCUUCUUAGUGACGACAUGAAAAUCACAUGAGGGUACCAUUGGAUCGAACUAAAUUGUUUCGAAAAACCAAUUCGUCUUAAUGCCGAAUAGGGCUGUUGGUAUAAGGACUCAAAAAAUUCUUGAAUAUUUUGUAGAAAAUGAUUACUCCUGAGGCUCCUGAGGAAUAAACGUCAGCAUGCUGUAAAAUAUUGGAUACUUUCCGAUACGUCUGGUUAUGCCGGACAAGUCUUAAAUCCUGGCGUCUGGUCAUGUUAGAGUAGUACAGUAUGUCAUAGCUCCCACUACCCCAAUCGUUUCAAUGACAUUACGAACCUUCCAUAUAUCGCUUGGACAAUCUAGGGGAUGACAGGGGGUACGAAAAAGUCCAUUGAAAGAGUUGGUGGGGGUUCAUGGAACGAACACGUGGACUCUCAUUUAUGUUUUUAUCCUAAUAGAUUAUUAUACUCACAAAAAAUUUCAAAACCAAGAAAAAUCGGCAAUGGAUGCAAAAAAUUCAGCAAACUGAUGCGAGUUUGUAGUGAAAAAUAUUCUAUUAUAAAGUUAUAUGUUGCAUGCAUCUCUAGCACAUGCUUGUAAUCGGAUUUUUUUUCUUUUAACCUUAGAAGUUAAAUGACUUUGUUAGGUGACAUCCAAUUAAUAUGUAUCCUUCAACAAAGCUACAAGCUAGGUUUUAAACUAUGCAAAAUCACUGUGGAAUUUUCCAUUGAAUUUUGAAUUUUAAUAUCUAUCUUUUUUUCCUUUUUUAUUAACGACUUAUAGUGAGUCAAUCUUUUUCCUUUUUUUAUGUAUUGUAACGACAUAUAAUUAGCAAGGGACUGGAAGGUGAAGUAUUUUUCAAAUAUUAAGAGCCAUAGUACUCAAGGGAGAGCAAGGAUUUGAAGUAAGAAAGUUUAGAAAAGCGUGGAGUAGGGUCAAUGAACAAGCUUAGAGUUUCCCGGUUACUUAGCUUUUUGUCUUCUGCAGCGCAGUAGUCAGGAUCUUUUGGCAUUAAAUGCGAAUCACCUGAGUCUGCGGCAUGUCCGGACAAGCGUAAAGUCAAUUUA